rnacentral:lncRNA from 1 species
UAUGAAUGAAUAAUACAAGCUAAAAGCAAUGAAUGUAUGCAUGGCUAAAAACCUACAGCUGAAACCUGAAUUUUACAGAUUUACAAAACCUGAUGCAGAUAUGAAGGUUCAACAUAAAUUCUGUCCACAAUGCUAUCAAAUGCAGAAUGAAAAAAAAAAAAAAAAUACUACGUACGAAUGGAGAUAAACUGCAGAUGCAAUGGUUCC